rnacentral:lncRNA from 1 species
GAAGGUCACGUGGGAUGCCUGGGAAGGCUGAGGGCUGCAGUGCUCUGUUACUGCCAGCCAACUCAAGAGGUCCUGCUGUCAAAGCCACCCAGCCAUCUGCUGCCACUUAACCUCCUCCAAAGCCCACCUGUUCUUGUUCUGCACAGUCGAGCUUGGGAGUUUCUGCGGCAAUUAAACCAUUAUAUUUCCACCCUUCCUGCCACCCCCAAAGGAACUGCAAUCAAACUUCACAAUUCUAAUCUGUAUUCCUUGGACAGAAGAUGGAAAAAAUUCGGGGGCAAUGCAAAAUAUCCAAGGAAACAAGAGUAUUGUAGAAAGAUUCAUAAUGUCCUAUGUAGCAUAAACUUUAUACUUAUAUUAAAAUGGUGAAUACUAAAUCUAUAUUGCUUUCUUUUUUUAAGCUAAAUAUCAGAAUCACAGAUGGAAGGUAUCUUACAGAUUAUCUGGUCCAGUCUUUGCAUUUUAGAGAUUAGGGGAAGGGAACAAGCAUUUAAUAAGUGCCUCCUGUGUACGAGACAUUGUGAUAAGCACUUUGAAAAUAUUGUCUCAUUUGAUUCUCAUAACAAACCUAAAGAGAUCUCAUUUUACAGAUAAAGAGACCAAGGUUAAAUGACUUGACCAGGGUCAUACAUCUAGUAGGUAUCUGCAGCUGGAUUUGAACUCAAGUCCUCUUGACUCCAGGGUCAGUGGUCUAUCCACUGCACAAGCUAGCCCCACAUAUAUAUGUACAUGUAGUCUUUCCUGGUAGAAUGAGUUCCUAGAGAAUAGAAACUUUUGUCUUUGUAUCCUCACUGUUUGCUUCAGUGUCCCUGACACAGUAAAUUCUCAAUAAGUAUUUGAUGAUUAAUUAUGUUCUUUGCACCAUCAUUGGCCCAUAAGCUCCCAAAUCAUUUUCCUAGAAGGAACUACUAGUUGAAUUACAAAUUCUUUCCUGGCAUUGUUUAGGUGCGCAGCUUAUGGUUAAAAAAAAUCCAAACAGCUUGCAGAUCAGAUUCACUACCUGAGUUUUUUAAGUGAGAAUGUUAGAAGGGACUUUCUCCCUCCUCUAAUGAAGGGAGAAAUCAUCAGAUCCUCAUUUAUCGACCUGCUUCCCAUGCAAAGUUUACCUUUUUCUGAACUUUAAAAGCUCCUGAAGUCAGAGUGUUGCCAGGAUACAUAGAAGUACACAUAUGCUCUGCUGACCCAGUUCCAAGCACCUGUCCAGAAUCAGAUCUGCCACUCAGAUCUGGGUUUGAAUGGCACGGAUGGGGGAGGGAAGGAUCCCCUGAUCCCUUGCAGCCUGAAAACCACUUUAUCAUCUCUCUGCCUAUUAUUAUUAUUAUUAUUAUUAUUAUUAUUAUUAUUAUUAUUAUAUCCAGCCCCAGACAUU